GCAAGAAGGAAGUGGGCCCCUUCUCUCUUCCUCCUGGUCUCUGCUCUGGAGUCGCCAUGUGAUCCACCAGAAAGAGAGGGCACCAGCAGAAGGCAUCCUCUAUAAGAUAAAUCUUAUAAAAUAUAUAUAUUUAUGAUAAUUAAGACUGAGCCAGCAGAUGAGAAAUCCUAGCUAUUGGGCAAGCAGCAUUUGUACCAAAUAUAAGUCUCUGUAUAUUAUUUUGGGCCCUAACUAGGCGGGCAGAACUUGGGUGGCUGGUGGAAAGCGCCCACAUGGCAGUAGGGCUCAGGUGGCUUUUGGCAAAAAGAUUUAUCAUAACACAAGAUGAGAGUAGUGGCAAGCUAGUUAAACCCUCAUGUAUGCAAACAGUGUGCUGAAAACUAAACGUCAAAUGUGUCCACUUAUGCAAACAGUUAUUUCUAAUUAUAUAUGUGUGUACCUCUUCUGGACAUAGUGAAAUGGCAGCGACACUCGGGAAAAUGUUUCAGAAUCCAGGGAAUCAGUUAUUAGGAACUUUCAGAUAUAGGCAACAAGAAACUUAACUCAAAUUACUUUUAAAAAUUCAUUGUCUAGAAAGACUGCAAAAGAUACUUCUGAGAUUUUAGAAUUGAAGGGAGGAAGUAAGUAGAGGGCAGAGGAAAGGGUCCCUGAAGGGAGAAGAGAGAGUGAAGAAGCAGGGCAGCACAGGCAAGAGCGGCAUAGAUGUGGGGUCUGCAAGCUUAGAGGCUCUGGAUGAAGGAUUCUCCCUUCAUCUUCUUCUGUCUCAUCCAGAUUCUCCCUUGUCUAGGACAUGGGGUAUCCUGUGCUUCCGGGGUGCUACAGAAAGGACUUCACCUAGUAGAGACAUAUGCCCACUGAUGGAUAAUCCAGGUUGCCUGUGGAUGAAGUGCAAUGCUCUGCCAUGUCCUUCAGCAUGAGGAAUGGAAAAAAGUCUCAAUUUCUGCAGAGUAUACAUUGGACAGGGAAGUGCAUGUGGCCUUGCAAACUGAAGAAUUCAGCUGCUGAAAUCUGUUCCAAGAAGUAGAGACUGCAUUUGGAGGGUGUGGCUUGCGGGUUUCACUUACUGUUGAAAUAGAGGAUGACUUCCAAAAAACUGACAGGAGCACAGAGCCUGUGUCAUCUCCAUUCCCAGUGAUUUCUCUUUGAUUGAUGUGCCAUUAAUGCUUUAAUUGGCAACAGGUGCGGAUGAUUGCUGUUUCCUAUGCUGAGAAAUGUGAAAUUGAACAUAAGGUUCUGAUAAAUUAAUAAAC
rnacentral:lncRNA from 1 species